rnacentral:lncRNA from 1 species
AAAACGUGGAUAACAUGUAUCCAUCAACAAAAUGAAGAGCAACAAUGAAAAUACAUACCAAAAAUCAGUCAUUGCGCCCAUAAAUGAAAUGAAUCAAAACCCACAAGCAUUAACAACAAAAUCCAGCAAGUCUAAAAUAGUGAGCGGAAGAAAGGAACUCUAACCGAUGAUUGGAACACUUCAUCUCUUAAGAAAGUUGUAAAGAUAAUCAAAUCUUGCAUUCAAGAAAUAAAAUUGUCAACACACACAUAUACAAGCAUAGCUGAAGCAGAUACAGAGAAUAGAAUUAUGGGAAGUAAAACUUACGAAUUUCAAGUUAAUACUCUUGGAAGCACCUCGGACCACAAUGAAACAACUCCUUCCCAUUUCACUGCGGAAGCUGAAAUGAAUAACAUGUGAGCUCUUCUUUACAAAACGGCUU